GUGAGUCAUCGAAUCUUUGAACGCACCUUGCGCCUUUUGGUAUUCCGAAAGGCAUGCCUGUUUGAGUGUCAUGUAGACUCAACUCUCGAGAGGUUUCUUGCGAGUUGGAUUUGGGUGUUGCCGUUCGGCUCGCCUUAAAGUUGUUAGUGGUUUAAGCACUUGAUCGGACGUGAUAAGUUUCGUCCGGCCGUGUGUGGUCGACCGCUCCUAAACCGCCUUGCGGCGCUCUUUGACUCUGACCUCAAAUCAGGUAGGACUACCCGCUGAACUUAAGCAUAUCAAUAAGCGGAGGA
rnacentral:misc_RNA from 1 species